rnacentral:misc_RNA from 1 species
GAUGAAGAACGUAGCGAAAUGCGAUACUUGGUGCGAAUUGCAGAAUCCCGUGAACCAUCGAGUCUUUGAACGCAAGUUGCGCCCGAAGCCAUUAGGCCGAGGGCACGCCUGCCUGGGCGUCACACGUCGUUGCCCCCCCAUCUACUCCUUCGGGAUUGCGGGGGGCGGAUGAUGGCCUCCCGUGCGCCUUGUCGCGCGGUUGGCAUAAAUGCCAAGUCCUCGGCGACGCACGCCACGACAAUCGGUGGUUGCGAAACCUCGGUUGCCCGUCGUGUGCGGUCGUCGCGCAUCGAGGGCUCGAAAAAAUUGUCGGGCUCCGGCUCGGCUUUCAACGCGACCCCAGGUCAGGCGGGGUUACCCGCUGAAUUUAAGCAUAUCAAUAAGCGGAGGA